CAUGCAAGUCGAGCGGAAACGAUCCUAGCUUGCUAGGAGGCGUCGAGCGGCGGACGGGUGAGUAAUGCAUAGGAAUCUACCCAGUCGUGGGGGAUAACCUGAGGAAACUCAGGCUAAUACCGCAUACGUCCUACGGGAGAAAGCGGGGGCUCUUCGGACCUCGCGCGAUUGGAUGAGCCUAUGUCGGAUUAGCUAGUUGGUCAGGUAACGGCUGACCAAGGCGACGAUCCGUAGCUGGUCUGAGAGGAUGAUCAGCCACACCGGGACUGAGACACGGCCCGGACUCCUACGGGAGGCAGCAGUGGGGAAUAUUGGACAAUGGGCGCAAGCCUGAUCCAGCCAUGCCGCGUGUGUGAAGAAGGCUUUCGGGUUGUAAAGCACUUUCAGCGAGGAAGAAAGCGUGCCGGCCAAUACCCGGUACGGACGACAUCACUCGCAGAAGAAGCACCGGCUAACUCCGUGCCAGCAGCCGCGGUAAUACGGAGGGUGCAAGCGUUAAUCGGAAUUACUGGGCGUAAAGCGCGCGUAGGCGGCGUGUCACGCCGGGUGUGAAAGCCCCGGGCUCAACCUGGGAACGGCAUCCGGAACGGGCAGGCUAGAGUGCAGGAGAGGAAGGUAGAAUUCCCGGUGUAGCGGUGAAAUGCGUAGAGAUCGGGAGGAAUACCAGUGGCGAAGGCGGCCUUCUGGACUGACACUGACGCUGAGGUGCGAAAGCGUGGGUAGCAAACAGGAUUAGAUACCCUGGUAGUCCACGCCGUAAACGAUGUCGACUAGCCGUUGGGUCCCUUGAGGACUUAGUGGCGCAGUUAACGCGAUAAGUCGACCGCCUGGGGAGUACGGCCGCAAGGUUAAAACUCAAAUGAAUUGACGGGGGCCCGCACAAGCGGUGGAGCAUGUGGUUUAAUUCGAUGCAACGCG
rnacentral:rRNA from 1 species